rnacentral:tRNA from 1 species
GGGGUAGUGGCUCAGUGGCAGAGCACUUGCCUCGUGUGUGUGAGGCACUGAGUUGGAUUCUCAACACCACA